rnacentral:rRNA from 1 species
GGCGGACGGGUGAGUAAUGCCUAGGAAAUUGCCUUGAUGUGGGGGAUAACCAUUGGAAACGAUGGCUAAUACCGCAUAAUGCCUACGGGCCAAAGAGGGGGACCUUCGGGCCUCUCGCGUCAAGAUAUGCCUAGGUGGGAUUAGCUAGUUGGUGAGGUAAUGGCUCACCAAGGCGACGAUCCCUAGCUGGUCNGAAAGGAUGAUCAGCCACACUGGAACUGANACACGGUCCAGACUCCUACGGGAGGCAGCAGUGGGGAAUAUUGCACAAUGGGCGAAAGCCUGAUGCAGCCAUGCCGCGUGUAUGAAGAAGGCCUUCGGGUUGUAAAGUACUUUCAGUUGUGAGGAAGGNG